AUGAGUGAUGCUCGUCCCACCCUGACGGUGCUGCCUCCCUCCAGGGAGGAGCUGCAGCAGGAAAAGGUCACGCUCACGUGUCUGGCCAACAAGGGCUUCCCCUCAGACUGGACUCUGUCCUGGAAGCUGGACGGCAGCGGCAGCAUCAGCAGCUCUGACCAGAGCAGGAGCCCUGGGGUUCUGGAGAAGGACGGACUCUACAGCUGGAGCAGCACCAUGAGGAUCCCUGCAGACCAGUGGACCAAGGUGAACUCUGUGACCUGUGAGGCCUCCCAGGGCUCCCAGUCUCCAGUCAGAGAGACUCUGAGCACAGACCAGUGCUCCCAGUUCUGAACUGUGUUUCAUUUGUCCUCUGGUUCUGGUUCUGCUUUUGCUCUCAAUCCUUGUUCAGCACCAACCUUUGUCUUUUCAAAAAUAAACGGUUAAAAGUUGAUCUUUUCCUGCUCACAAAGACUCUGCUGUGGUUCUAACAUAAUAAAGUACUCCUUCAAACUGAAACCUAUCACAUGAUUGAUCAUUUUAUUUUUAUAAUCCCACAAAAAUAUGAGAAAUGUAGCAGAAUAAAAACAAUGAUUCCUACAAUGUUAAUAACAAGACGUGAGUAGAAUGGAAACAGGUCAACCAUCAACCAUGUCACCAAGGAUCCAAGUGAAGCUGGAUGAAAGAUUAGGUUCUUCCAGGAAGCAACGCUGCCUAGUUUUAUGAAACAAACUGCGUUUCUCUGUUGUUGUUUCCCUGCGUGCUUGUACA